AUCGAGCUGACGAGUCCAAAAUAGCACGAAACGUGCGUCCUGAAU
rnacentral:hammerhead_ribozyme from 1 species